AGACCACCAGCUAAGGUCCCAAAAUAUAUGUUAAGUGGAAAAGGAUGUGGCGUUGCCCAGACAACUAGGAUGUUGGCUUAGAAGCAGCCAUCAUUUAAAGAGUGCGUAAUAGCUCACUAGUCGAGUGACACUGCGCCGAAAAUGUACCGGGGCUAAACAUAUUACCGAAGCUGUGGAUUGUCCUUUGGACAAUGGUAGGAGAGCGUUCUAAGGGCGUUGAAGCAUGAUCGUAAGGACAUGUGGAGCGCUUAGAAGUGAGAAUGCCGGUGUGAGUAGCGAAAGACGGGUGAGAAUCCCGUCCACCGAUUGACUAAGGUUUCCAGAGGAAGGCUCGUCCGCUCUGGGUUAGUCGGGUCCUAAGCUGAGGCCGACAGGCGUAGGCGAUGGAUAACAGGUUGAUAUUCCUGUACCACCUAUAAUCGUUUUAAUCGAUGGGGGGACGCAGUAGGAUAGGCGAAGCGUGCGAUUGGAUUGCACGUCUAAGCAGUAAGGCUGAGUAUUAGGCAAAUCCGGUACUCGUUAAGGCUGAGCUGUGAUGGGGAGAAGACAUUGUGUCUUCGAGUCGUUGAUUUCACACUGCCGAGAAAAGCCUCUAGAUAGAAAAUAGGUGCCCGUACCGCAAACCGACACAGGUAGUCAAGAUGAGAAUUCUAAGGUGAGCGAGCGAACUCUCGUUAAGGAACUCGGCAAAAUGACCCCGUAACUUCGGGAGAAGGGGUGCUCUUUAGGGUUAACGCCCAGAAGAGCCGCAGUGAAUAGGCCCAAGCGACUGUUUAUCAAAAACACAGGUCUCUGCUAAACCGUAAGGUGAUGUAUAGGGGCUGAC
rnacentral:rRNA from 1 species